AACGAACGCUGGCGGCAGGCUUAACACAUGCAAGUCGAGCGCCCCGCAAGGGGAGCGGCAGACGGGUGAGUAACGCGUGGGAAUCUACCCAUCACUACGGAACAACUCCGGGAAACUGGAGCUAAUACCGUAUACGUCCUUAGGGAGAAAGAUUGAUCGGUGACGGAUGAGCCCGCGUGGGAUUAGCUAGUUGGUGGGGUAAUGGCCUACCAAGGCGACGAUCCAGAGCUGGUCUGAGCGGAUGAUCAGCCACACUGGGACUGAGACACGGCCCAGACUCCUACGGGAGGCAGCAGUGGGGAAUAUUGGACAAUGGGCGAAAGCCUGAUCCAGCCAUGCCGCGUGAGUGAUGACGGCCCUAGGGUUGUAAAGCUCUUUCGCAGGUGAAGAUAAUGACGGUAACCUGAGAAGAAGCCCCGGCUAACUUCGUGCCAGCAGCCGCGGUAAGAC
rnacentral:rRNA from 1 species